rnacentral:rRNA from 1 species
GACGAACGCUGGCGGCGUGCUUAACACAUGCAAGUCGAACGAAGUGGCGAACGGGUGAGUAACGCGUAAUCAACCUGCCCUUCAGAGGGGGUCAACAGUUGGAAACGACUGCUAAUACCGCAUACUGAAGGAGGGGAUUGCGUCUGAUUAGCUCGUUGGAGGGGGAACGGCCCACCAAGGCGAUGAUCAGUAGGCUGGCUGAGAGGAUGGACGGCCACAUUGGGACUGAGACAAGGCCCAGACUCCUACGGGAGGCAGCAGUGGGGAAUCAUCCGAAAUGGACGAAAGGCUGACGGAGCAACGCCGCGGGAGUGAUGACGGCCUUCGGGGUGGAAAGCUCUGUUAAGCGGGACGCGGUACCGGAAUAGAAAGCCACGGCUAACUACGUGCCAGCCGCCGCGGUAAUAC